GACAGAGGGUGCAAACGUUGUUCGGAAUUACUGGGCGUAAAGCGCGUGUAGGCUGCUCCGAAAGUCGGGUGUGAAAGCCCUGGGCUCAACCUAGGAAGUGCACUCGAAACUUCGGAGCUGGAGUCCUGGAGAGGAAGGCGGAAUUCUCGGUGUAGAGGUGAAAUUCGUAGAUAUCGAGAGGAACACCGGUGGCGAAGGCGGCCUUCUGGACAGUGACUGACGCUGAGACGCGAAAGCGUGGGUAGCGAACAGG
rnacentral:rRNA from 1 species